rnacentral:rRNA from 1 species
UACGGAGGGUGCAAGCGUUGUCCGGAAUCACUGGGCGUAAAGGGCGCGUAGGCGGCUCAUGAAGGCUGUGGUGAAAGUCCGGGGCUCAACCUCGGAUCGGCCGUGGCGACUCGUGGGCUGGAGCACUGUAGAGGCGGGUGGAAUUCCGGGUGUAGCGGUGGAAUGCGUAGAGAUCCGGAAGAACACCAGUGGCGAAGGCGGCCGGCUGGGCAGUGGCUGACGCUGAGGCGCGACAGCGUGGGGAGCAAACAGG